GCUUUGGGAAAGACUUCUGAGAGGAGUCUACACUGUUUCCCAAGCAUCAUCAAACCCUGCAAUAGUCUUUCAAAUCUGCCCUAGCCAUUGAAAAGGUAAGGGGGAAACAUCACUGUGUAACUGGGUAUUUUCUAAUCCUUGUGCCUCUGU
rnacentral:lncRNA from 1 species